rnacentral:rRNA from 1 species
CCUACGGGAGGCAGCAGUGAGGAAUAUUGGUCAAUGGACGAGAGUCUGAACCAGCCAAGUAGCGUGAAGGAUGACUGCCCUAUGGGUGGUAAACUUCUUUUAUAUGGGAAUAAAAUGUUCCACGUGUGGGAUUUUGUAUGUACCAUAUGAAUAAGGAUCGGCUAACUCCGUGCCAGCAGCCGCGGUAAUACGGAGGGUCCGAGCGUUAUCCGGAUUUAUUGGGUUUAAAGGGAGCGUAGGUGGAUUGUUAAGUCAGUUGUGAAAGUUUGCGGCUCAACCGUAAAAUUGCAGUUGAAACUGGCAGUCUUGAGUACAGUAGAGGUAGGCGGAAUUCGUGGUGUAGCGGUGAAAUGCGUAGAUAUCACGAAGAACUCCGAUUGCGAAGGCAGCUCACUGGACUGCAACUGACACUGAGGCUCGAAAGUGUGGGUAUCAAACAGGAUUAGAUACCCGAGUAGUC